UACGUAGGGGGCUAGCGUUGUCCGGAAUCAUUGGGCGUAAAGAGCGUGUAGGCGGCCCGGUAAGUCCGCUGUCAAAGUCGGGGGCUCAACCCUCGAAUGCCGGUGGAUACUGUCGGGCUAGAGUGCGGAAGAGGCGAGUGGAAUUCCUGGUGUAGCGGUGAAAUGCGCAGAUAUCAUGAGGAACACCGAUUGCGAAGGCAGCUCGCUGGGACGUAACUGACGCUGAGACGCGAAAGCGUGGGGAGCAAACAGG
rnacentral:rRNA from 1 species